UUAAUAGCAUACUCAUUUGACGUUUAGCUUGCAGAAGAAGCACCGGCUAACUCCGUGCCAGCAGCCGCGGUAAUACGGAGGGUGCGAGCGUUAAUCGGAAUUUACUGGGCGUUAAAGCGCAUGCAGGUGGUUUGUUAAGUCAGAUGUGAAAGCCCGGGGCUCAACCUCGGAAUUGCAUUUGAAACUGGCAAACUAGAGUACUGUAGAGGGGGUAGAAGUUUCAGGUGUAGCGGUGAAAUGCGUAGAGAUCUGAAGGAAUACCGGUGGCGAAGGCGGCCCCCUGGACAGAUACUGACACUCAGAUGCGAAAGCGUGGGGAGCAAACAGGAUUAGAUACCCUGGCAG
rnacentral:rRNA from 1 species